GACGAACGCUGGCGGCGUGCUUAACACAUGCAAGUCGAACGGAAAGGCCCUGCUUUUGUGGGGUGCUCGAGUGGCGAACGGGUGAGUAACACGUGAGUAACCUGCCCUUGACUUUGGGAUAACUUCAGGAAACUGGGGCUAAUACCGGAUAGGAGCUCCUGCUGCAUGGUGGGGGUUGGAAAGUUUCGGCGGUUGGGGAUGGACUCGCGGCUUAUCAGCUUGUUGGUGGGGUAGUGGCUUACCAAGGCUUUGACGGGUAGCCGGCCUGAGAGGGUGACCGGCCACAUUGGGACUGAGAUAAGGCCCAGACUCCUACGGGGGGGAGCAGUGGGGAAUUUUGCAAAAUGGGCGGAAGCCUGAUGCAGCAACGCCGCGUGCGGGAUGACGGCCUUUGGGGUGUAAACCGCUUUCGCCUGUGACGAAGCGUGAGUGACGGUAAUGGGUAAAGAAGCACCGGCUAACUACGUG
rnacentral:rRNA from 1 species